rnacentral:lncRNA from 1 species
ACAGCUUAAGUGUUAACAGCUCAGUGGAGGGUCAGUGUGACAGACUGUAUUAGUCAGGGUUCUCUAGAGGGACAGAACUGAUGGAAUAUAUGUGAGAUAUAUAUAUAUAUAUGUAUAUAUGGGUGUUUGUUAAGUCUUAACUCACGUGAUCACAAAGUCCCACAAUAGGCCGUCUGCAGGCUGAGGAGCAAGGAGAGCCAGUCUGACUUCCAAAACUGAAGACCUUGGAAUCCAAUGUUUGAGGGCUGGAAGCAUCCAGCAUAGGGGAGAGACCAUGUGAAGACCAUGAUUGCUUUCCCUUCAGCCUUCCACCUUUGUAAGUUUCCUGAGGCCUCCCCAGAAGCAGAAUCCUGCAUAGUCUGCAGAACUGGAAAAAGCACAUUUAUGGUCUGGCCCUAGGGCUAUUUUACCUUGAUUUCCUCUCUGUCAGAUACAAUUUGGAGGAAACUGGUCAUUCUGCAGAAUAUCACAUUGACCCAUUGUACCAAUAUAAUGAUGUUGAUGAUCAUGUUAAUCAAUACGUCACAAAUACUUUGGUAAGACACUUAUAGUCAAGAGGAUGGUAAGCUUUAUGAAGAUGUAGGGGCCUGUCACAAUCGUGAAACUUAACAAGGUUGGGAGAAGAAGUCCAACAGUCUGCAGGAUUCAAGGCCAUCCUGGAAAAGACACUUCUUUAUUUAAGUUAUUUGAACCACUCCUCCAGAAUAUCAAUGGGCCUCUUUUUCUGGGGUACUUGUAUAAGAGAAUAGUUAGUACAACAAACCAUAGUCCUUACCACUGCAGCUAUUUUGAAGCUAGAACUGCUACUCUUGUUUUCUCCUAUUUUAUGCAUUCUACAUUACCUUCACCAUCAGC